rnacentral:rRNA from 1 species
AGUCGAACGAAGCAUUAGGAUUGAAGUUUUCGGAUGGAUUCCUAUAUGACUGAGUGGCGGACGGGUGAGUAACGCGUGGGGAACCUGCCCUAUACAGGGGGAUAACAGCUGGAAACGGCUGCUAAUACCGCAUAAGCGCACAGAAUCGCAUGAUUCAGUGUGAAAAGCCCUGGCAGUAUAGGAUGGUCCCGCGUCUGAUUAGCUGGUUGGUGAGGUAACGGCUCACCAAGGCGACGAUCAGUAGCCGGCUUGAGAGAGUGAACGGCCACAUUGGGACUGAGACACGGCCCAAACUCCUACGGGAGGCAGCAGUGGGGAAUAUUGCACAAUGGGGGAAACCCUGAUGCAGCGACGCCGCGUGAGUGAAGAAGUAUUUCGGUAUGUAAAGCUCUAUCAGCGGGGAAGAAAACAGACGGUACCUGACUAAGAAGCCCCGGCUAACUACGUGCCAGCAGCCGCGGUAAUACGUAGGGGGCAAGCGUUAUCCGGAAUUACUGGGUGUAAAGGGUGCGUAGGUGGCAUGGUAAGUCAGAAGUGAAAGCCCGGGGCUUAACCCCGGGACUGCUUUUGAAACUGUCAUGCUGGAGUGCAGGAGAGGUAAGCGGAAUUCCUAGUGUAGCGGUGAAAUGCGUAGAUAUUAGGAGGAACACCAGUGGCGAAGGCGGCUUACUGGACUGUCACUGACACUGAUGCACGAAAG